rnacentral:rRNA from 1 species
AUUGAACGCUGGCGGAAUGCUUUACACAUGCAAGUCGAGCGGCAGCACGGGGGCAACCCUGGUGGCGAGCGGCGAACGGGUGAGUAAUACAUCGGAACAUGCCCAGUCGUGGGGGAUAACACUUCGAAAGAAGUGCUAAUACCGCAUAAGUCCUGAGGGGGAAAGCGGGGGAUCGCAAGACCUCGCGCGAUUGGAGUGGCCGAUGUGAGAUUAGCUAGUUGGGGGGGUAAAGGCCUACCAAGGCAACGAUCUGUAGCUGGGCUGCGAGGAUGAACAGCCAAAAUGGGAAUGGGACAAGGGCCAGACUCCUACGGGAGGGAGCAGUGGGGAAUUAUGGAACAUGGGGGCAACGCUGAGCCAGCCAAUCCGGGUGAGGGAAGGAGGCCUUCGGGUUGUAAAGCUCUUUCGGCAGGAACGAAACGGUGAGCUCUAACAUAGCUUGCUAAUGACGGUACCUGAAGAAGAAGCACCGGCUAACUACGUGC